rnacentral:lncRNA from 1 species
CCAAAAUCGUUGUGUUUCUUCUACAUGGCUUUCCUAUACAGAAAAUAUAAACACAAAAAAACUACAAGUCUAUUAUUAUUCCUACUCUUAACAAUUUAAAUAAAUUAAAAAUCAUCCAAAUUUAAUACAAUCUUUAAAAACAAAAAUUAAAAGUUCAGUCAUCCUCCUCAAAAUCCAUCUCAUCAUCUUCCUCCCCCUCC